rnacentral:lncRNA from 1 species
GCCAUAGUUUAUCCCAAUAAACUUUAGUAGCUGCUCACAGCUUGAAAUCAUGUUCAAACAAAGCUAAACAUCAUUAACCUAAAUAUAUAGUAAAACAGAUACAUGUAGAUCGGCAGAGAUGACUAAAUUUAAACUACCUCAUAAAGCUAACAAUAAACUAUUUACAGAUGUAGGACCAUGGUCCAUGAGAAUAGCGUAGUCAAUCUCUUUUCUUUUCCCACUCUACCAUUUUCUGCCACAAACUCAAAACCCCAACAACAUAGUCAAUCUCAUCUUCAAGCCUUCGGCAAGAAUAACACCCAUCUUGCUCUUCUUCAAAACCCCAACAACAUAGUCUGUCUCGUAGUCACCAUUUUCUGCCACAAACUCAAAACCCCAACAACAUAGUCAAUCUCAUCUUCAAGCCUUCGGCAAGAAUAACACCCAUCUUGCUCUUCUUCAAAACCCCAACAACAUAGUCUGUCUCGUAGUCAAUCUCGUCGUUGUAGAAUCAAUUACAUGAUCUCUUCUGAUAGUUGUUUGGACCACCAGUUGCUGCUGUUGUUACUCAUCAUUUACACGUAGAUCUUGGGAUCCAGAUCUGGAUCGGCAUAUAGAGAAAGAGAGAGAGAGAGAGAGAGAGAGAGAGACAAAGAGAUAGAGAGGAAAGGAGGAUUUAUCCGCGGCAAAUAGACAGAAAGACCACUAGUUGCUCUUUAUUUAUAUUGUUAUAACU